UUAAUUUCCUUGCUUGUUUUCAUUUUCACUUUUUUUCCAUCAAGUAUAUCAGCUACAUUUGUACCUAAUGAGUUUUUAUUUUCUAAUGUGAAAGUUUAGCAACACCCAGUUAAAUCCCUGCUUGGUUUUGGCUCCUCCAUCAGGUUGCUGGUGGCUGAGAAAGUUUUUCCUGCUUAAUCAGCCUGAACAGAUCAGGCAAGGGAAGCAGAGUUGUCAGAACAAUAAUAACAAGUCAUUGUUUUGACAGAGGUUAAACAGAUCUUCAGUAGUAAUUAUCAGUGAAAGAAAAGCAUAACAAGGGCAAAGAAAUGUGUGUCUUCAAGAAGGAUGGAUGUAUCUGACCUUCACAGGGAGCAACAGAAAAGGGUGUCCCAUGCAGAAAUGGCUACCAAAAAAUUACUCAGGAUGGCUUCGAUGUGGAGCUGGGAAGAGAAUCUGAAUCUUAGGAUUGUCAUCUCCUGUGCCUCAGUCAGAAUAUCCACUGCUGAGAGAGCCUGCUCUCUGCAGACAGGUUUGUCAGCCAGAUGGAAUAUUACAGCAAAAAAUUAAUACUUUCAUAACAUGUUCUUUUUUUCCCCCAUUAAAAAUAUUCUUGGAUAGCUGAGGCAGCCAAAUGGAUUUUCUGGGCAGCAUUUACUGGAAUUCUUUUACAGCAGUAAGUCUAAAUGCUGUUUGUUGUCUUCUUUUUAAGAAAAGAGCUGGUUUGGUUUGAUGGCUUGAAAGGAAUCUGACAUGAGGCAGGAGCCAGAUUUACCAGCUGAAAUAAAAGAUUAAUUUGUUCACAAAAGUAUGUCGAGCUGUUUACUUCACUGUGCCCCUGCCUUUGCAAAGAUUAUACACUGAAAUCUUGGUUAUUUUUCCUUCUCUGGUCUUGGGAUUUUGUUAUUUGCUAUAGUGUGCAGGAUAAAGGCUCUGGAGAUGUGAGGGACAUAAUAAAACAGUGGAACUAAAGAGGAUGUUGCCAGAGGCUGACUCACUGUAAUUCCAGGGCUAAGGAAAAUGACAUUUUAUAAUUGGCUCACACUAUUAAGCUAUUGCUCUCAUAUUUUGAGAAAAAUUGUCAUUCUCCCAUCUUGCAUUCUCACACCAAAUAGGAUGGGAUUUUAAAGAGGUCUCAGAGUUUUAAAAUAACUCACUUUUAUCAGUUACCACUGAGUAACUGGGAUUUAUUUGGGGUCUUUCAUUUGCUCUGGAGAUCUGUGAGUUCUCCAGGUUCCCACAAGUAUUUUUUAGUCACAUCCAUUGCUUUGGAUGGGUAUGUAAAUUCAUUUUUUUGUGUUCCAGUGUUUUUGGUCUGCUGGUGUGUAUGUUUUAAUGCCAGGGAGUGGUGGAUUUUAUGAUUAACCACAACCCAAUGACAAAUACCAUGCUGUCAUUUAAAGAAGACUGGAAGGAUAAAGCUGUUGAUUGUGAAAGCAGUUUUUCUAAGAAUAGGACUUGUCUGGUUUCUCCUUUAGUUUGAAUUACCUUUGCUAUUUAUGCUGUUAUUCCUGCUCCUUCCCAUUUCACAGGAGCCCUAAAUUCUGGCUCAGAGCAGGUUGGUUCUGCUUCAGCUCUGCAGCUGUUCACAUUGGUUAACACCCUUAUGCUGCUGCUUAUUCCCACACCAAGAGUUUUCAGACAUGAGAAGUGUCUUUGUUUGAUGCCACUUGGCCUCAGUGCACCAGCACAGCUCACUCACUGCAGUAACCACGGAGGCUUUGCUUCACUUUCCCUCUUGCAGUGUUUGCCAGCAGUGAAAAGCUGCCCUGGAGCUCUGCUACAGCUGUGACAACCUGCAGGGGGUUGUCACUUGGUGUUUAACCCUCACCUGAGCCUGCUGCUGAGGGACACCCUGCUCUGCCUUGGUGUGCUGUGGGUUUGGUGAUGUCUCUGGCUUUUCCUGCUGUUCAGAGUAACCCAGCAUUUCCAUUCCAGCACUGUUGGUGUCUUCAGCUGUUCCUAAACUCCUCCUCUAAUCCCUCAUCUGGGUACAGCUUGACCUAAUUUACUGUGCUCCUGCCAGCUAUGCCAGUUUCAUAAGGAGGGGUGCUCUGCUUCCCACCCUGCAGGUGACCCCUGUGUGCCAUCCCAGAUGGAGAGGCAGUGGCUGCCCUCAGGUGGGCAGGACAACCCCUCUCUGAUAAGGAAAUGUUUUGGCAGUGGAACGAGUGAGAGGUAAAAUUUUAUGUUGGUCUGUGCAGGUAUUUGAAUGUGAUUAACUCAGAAUGUGAGAGCAGCCCCACUUAAUCCUGUGGGAAUAAUUAUGGAAUAAUGUUAUCCACAGGCAGUGCAGGAGGGAGCUGGUCUUUGUGGCUGUGGUUUAGCUGCUGCUGUUCUUGUUUCCUGCUUUUCCUUUGGAGAACACUGAACAAUUGUGGAGAAUGUGAUUUCUCUUUGGCUCAGAGGCAGUGGGCAGGGUAACACCUCUCUGGCUGAUGUUUCAUUCAGCCCAGAGCUGGUUUCAUAUAAAACCUUGACUGUGGGACUGUCCCAGUGCACAGGGCUGACACUGCUCACUGCAUCCCCUGCAAUGUCCUGCCUCCCCCAGAGCCUUGCUGGAGCUGAGGAUGUGCAGGCAAACAGUGAAAUGUGUUGUCUUUUCUUCCAGAUCUUCCAUAAGACAUUUCAUUAUGAUGCUGGAGAAGACAAUUUAGACUGGGACUCUUCCAGAUCUACUUCCAACACCCCCAGGAGUAUCUGCCUGUGCCCCAGUCCUCUCUGUGGUCCCUGAGUACUCCAAGGGUGACCCUGCCCCUUUCCUGGUGCCCCAGGAUCCUUCCUCCAAGUGCCUUCUGGUGUGACCCAGCCACCUCCCUGUGCCUUUUAGUGCAGUGUGGCCAGUAAUACCACCACAGUUUAAUCUGAAGAAAUAGUCACUAAUGUACUUCCCCAAUCUAAUUCCAGUUGGUGCUGUAAAAAGGUAAAAUAUGCAUUUUUCCUGACAUUUAUUGUGAAGAACCUGCUGCUCCCUGACACCAAAACACAAAGGAGUGUGAAGUUAAGGUAAAACUUAAUUUUAAAAACCCUCCAAUAUGAAGCAGAAUUGUAACUUUUUGAAUUCUUUUCAGAGCUGUCCUCUGGAAAUUCAGGAUGCAGGCAUGAUGCAGGUUCAGGUGUCAGAGGCUUUAAUUGCUUUUAGAGUUUGGGCCAGACUCAUUCAAGGAAUUUUGGAGCUGAGCUUAAUGGUCUUCUAAGAUCAGAACUGGAUUCCUCAGAUGCCAUGUGCUGACUUCCCAACUAGCUAAGAGAAACUGCUGAACUGAGCUGUUGCUAAGCUCCAGUUCCCAGAGUGGGGAAUGUCAGAGCACAGAGGAUUUGCUUCCUUGCUCUGAAGCCACAGCCAGACUCAGUGUUUCACCCACACUCCCUGACACAGCACUGCAGUCACUCCUUUUCUUGCCUUCCAACAGAGCUCAGCAGUUGAAGCUCUCAGCAGGGGAUUACAUAAAUUGGGGCUUUGCUUUUAUCCUGGAGAGAAUUCAAGGAGCCUCUAUUAUAAUCUUCCAGCUGAUUGAUCUGAUGGCUGUGCCAGCACUGCUGCUGUCCAGGGCACUCUGGAGCAAGGUUCUGAUUUGACCCUUCCUGCUGAGCUGGUUCUUGUUUCUGUGGGCUGAGGAGGAAUUGUGUGUGUUUCCAGCAGGAAGGAUCUGUGUUCCCGUUGCUGCUGCAGUGAGCAUCUCCUCCAAAUGAGUGUCUGUUUACCAGCUCAGUUUCAUUGAGCUGAUUUUUGGCAGGCUGCCCUCCCGCUCCCUCCCCUCCCACCUCCACUUUGGGCUCCCUUUUUCCACAGCUUUCUCAGUACUCAUUCCUCAGCAAUUUCCCAUUUUUCACCCUUUGCUCCUUCUCCCAUCAGAGUGAGAUCCAUUCCUGCACUUAGUGUGCCUCAGCAAGGUGAUUCACCUCCUCUUGACACCCCUUAACAGCAUUUAGGAAAAACGCACUUGUCUUUCUCUUAGGAGCCAGACUGAAACCAUUUUUAUCCUAUUUUUAUUAUUUCUUUUUAUCACCUGAAUGCUUUAGUUAUGUGGAUGCAUUUUAUUUCCAAGCUCAAAUAUAUUUGUAUUGUUUGUAUGCAGCCUGUCAUCUGGAUUUGAAAGACCACAUUUUUGUAAAGAAACAGAGCUUUGACAAACCUGGUGGGUAAUUUAUUAACAAAGUCCCUCUAAAACUUGCUUAAUCAUUUUUUCAGGAAAUCUGUCCUCAUAUGUAUUUAAAUCUAUUCCUACCUCCAAAUACUGAAAUGAGAGAAAAUUAUUGUUUUUUUAACCCCCCUCAUUUCAGCCCCAAGGUGGUUUGUUCAGAAGACACGAAAAUCCUCCACUUCCAUCAGUUAAACUCUUCAGACACUUUCCUGAGCAGCUGUUUCCUCAUGAAGAUCCAGUUGAAAAUCUCAAUCAUGGAUUACUUUCACAUCUUUAACCAAAAGAGAGCUGCUUCAGGGAAAGCCUUCAAGUCUUUGCUAUGCAUGGUACUGAUUCUAAUUGGGUGCAACAUUUGUGGCCUGAUUAUAGCAAACAAUCUGGACAGUUUUAGCCUGAUAUUCCUUUGAAAAAACAGGACAGUGGAGACUUGCUGCCUUAUUUGGGCUGGUUUUUAGCCUCCACUGUUUCAGAGGCAGCACUUGCCCAUCUCCACAGUAACAAGGCACAGGAGGAAGGAGCUGUGGUACAGCGAGUCCAAACGUGGGGACUCGGGCUCCUUCCACCUUUGCAAGCCCAGGAACAGCACCCAGGGAGAGCCGGAGAGAGCACAGAGAGCAGUGUCUGCUGCAAGUGGCAGGAGCACUGCUGCCCUCAGGGGCCAGGAAUCCACAGCCUGGACAGCUGAGUUAGUCAUUAAAGCUGCUGCUGGAAAUGAAAAGGAAGAGAAGGUAACAACAAAAAAGUCCUUUUGCCCUCUCUGUUCCUUGCUGUUGCCUCUCUGUAAAUAACAGAAUCUGACAGCGGAUGUGGAAUAGCUUUGGUUCACUCAUCAUUUAGAAUCUCAAAAUUGGUGCUUCUGGUGUUGAGUUCCUGUUGUUCCUGUAUUUUUUGAAUUACAACUGAAGCACAGGGUGCCUGUUGACUGUCAUUCCACGGCACUAAGGCCCUGACUGCAGGGUUUCAGCUGUCAGGAUCUUUCCAAAGCACUGCUGUGUUUCCUAACCCAAUCCAGCUGCCUUCCAAACCUCUCUGGGCUCAUGCAGCAGCAGGACAGGCCCUGUGCUGUGCACAGCCUGUAUUUCCUGCUGGCAUUCACAGGGAGAAAGGAGAAAACUGCAGCAAGCUCAGUGCUUGGAGUGUGUCAGGCCAGGCAGCCAGGCUGGGAGGAGCCCAUGGGGCUCCCCGAGGGAAACAAAAGGUGCACAGGAGCUGCCAGUGCCCCUCUGUCCCCUGUAAAUGACAGGAUAAGGCACCAGACAAAGAUACCCUGGGGCAAGGCCGGCAGAGCAGCCCUGCCUGAGCUCCCUCUGGCAUCUGUCAGCUCCUAAAGCAGCAGUGUACGAACAGAACUCUGGAACAGCUGAGCAAAGAGACCCCAGCAAACAAAAUGCUGCUUUCAAAUGUCCCAAAAAUGGCUCUUUGGAAAGAACACACACGUGUAUUUAGCUCCUGUUGAUUUUAUUUGAAUUAAAUAAAAAAGUGUAUUCCCCACGUUAAA